GGGGGGGGGGGGGGUGUUUGUUUGUUUUAUAGAAUCGUAUAAUCACUAAGGUUGGAAAAGACCCACAGGAUCAUCCAGUCCAACCAUUCACCCUUCACCAAUGGUUCUCGCUAAACCAUGUCCCUCAACACAACAUCCAAAGUUCUGUUUUGCUAAAUCAUUUCUGUAUUUCUUAUAACUGUGCUUUGUGAUACCACAUUCAUUUUUAGUAUGACUCAGAGCCAGGUGGUUAAGCCUUUCUUUUUAUUUACACAUAAAUUGAUACAAUCGGUAAGUAGACUUCAUUGCAAGGUAGCAAAUUUACAAACCUUUCCCUGGGUUGAAAAAUCCUUCUGCAUUAUUCAGCUGUAAUUCAUGUAAAAUAGACUCUCAUAAUUAGCAUCUGGUGGUUGUGAGCAGUUGAAGGAUUUUAUCACCAGCUCUAUUCUAGAAGUUUAUCCAGUUGAGUUACAUAGGUGAAUACCUAAACCAUAUGGUGGAAUUUGUUUCCUUCUUGAAUGAUCCAAGCACACAUGCAUACACAUGCAUGCACUUACAAAUACACAAUUCUCCCAAUUCUGUAUGUUCAUCUAUUUUAUAUAUGCAUUUACAUUUAAAGACUUAUUUAUAUAUACUUGUAAAUAUUCAGAUACAUACACAUACGCAUUUGUACCUGCACAUUCACACACAUUCACAUCUUGUCUGCUAAAAUCAAUUAUUUUCAUUAAUUAAAUUAUUUCUCCGUCAGUUUGAAUUCUCCACCAUUUUGUCCAUCUACUUCGCAUUAGCAUGCUUACAGAAAGGGGAUGUCUCUUCUGGGAGUUCAUGAAAUGAAAAGGAAAUCAAGAUGUGAUCAAAAAUCACCAAGAACUCUGUGGGUCUUUUUCCCAGGUUACUGUCUCUCUUGCAGUCUUACAUUGUAAGAACUCCUCCUGCAGCUCAAAUUAACCAGAGUGCUAUGCCAUGACUCUUCAGGCAGAAAGGCACACAUGCUUCUGUUACAUAGUAUGUGUAUUACAUGAGAAAAUACCUUACCAUUCUGUGUCUUUGAGAAUGUCAUGCAUGAUUCUCUUCCUGGCUCAUAUCCCAUCUUAAACCCAAAGCAUUUUCAUCUUUUAAAGACACCAUUGUUAGCUGGGGCACCCCAGGAGAAUCAAUAACCCCCUGUGGUAAAUGCACACUUCUCUGGCCUGACAUAGCCAGUCCAUCAAACAUUCCCCUGCUUAAAAGGAAAGCAGAAUUCCUCUUCCCCGUCAUUAAGUCAAUUCCUCAAAUCAAUGUACAUAUAUCAAUUAUGUGCAGAAUAAAUGAAAUAAAGCAAAUGCUUUAAAAGCAAACCUGGUAUCCAGGCAUAAGUCAUGGCUAAAACAUGAAGGAACCAAUCUAGGACUGAGAGCCAGUGGGGCAGUAUAUAUGCAGCAUGCUGUGUUCAGAGGCAAAGGAGACACAUGACUGUUCUCUCAUCACUUGCCUUUUCUGCCUAUCUGCUACAUGGUCAGAGGGAAGCAAUGAGAAGAUGCACCUAGAGACAAGCAACGACUGGCAGCAAUUAACUAACCUGAUGGGGGAUAUGUCCAUGAUGGGGAAUGGACAGUGGAACCCAAUGUAGUGCUGCUAAAGAAGUGGUCAGGUUUCCAGCAUGGCUCUGACCUGUGCUUUCUACCUAUCCUCUCCCAGCCAUGCCUGGCACCCAUCCUUUGUAGUAGUCCAUCUCUGCACCAAAUCCACAUGCCAGUUAACACGUGGCUACCCUGAUUUUGACCUAAAGCCACAAGCAUACGUGACUUGGGUCUGCUAACCUCAAUGCCAGAAAACUGUCCCAGCAUAUUUCAUUUGCUGGUCUAGAUGUAUCCAUACAAAGAUAAAUGUGGUGAGGUCUUUUUGCAGGCUUUUUUUGUCAUUACCCUACCCAGUGUCUAUCAAAGUACACAAUAUUAGGUCAAAGAUUUUCUAGGAUUAGUUUUUAGUGAACUUGUCAGCUGCACAGCUGAAUGGACUGAGCAUGGAGAGAGGUUCCAGCAGUCAUACCUGCAAGGACAUUGCAUAUGACUUUGAGAAGGGAUUAAUCAAAAAUGGCAGCAAUGAGAAAUGGCAGAAGUGGAAUGUCUGAACUGAGUGAUGGGUCAUCACCCUAAAUUAUCUUGAUCCUUACAUCAGAGGGAGCAGGAGAGGAGGAACCUAAAAAAAUGAUAUAAAGGAAAAGAACAGUCAUCUCUUUUCCCUACACAUUAUGUGAGCUACUUAGGAGUAUCUAAAACAAAUGUAUAAGAGGUAUCCCAGUUCUGCACUUCAGGUACGUAGCUUCCCUCAAUCUGAAAUACGGGCGAACUUACUGCUAGUGUGUACGAGUUAUGUAAAGGCAAUUCUCCACCCUAUCCUUCGAGAGCAGAACACUAGAAGAAGAGACUAUCUGAAAAGCAAAAUCUGACAACGACAGCAACAAGGGAAACAGUAUUUAUAGAAGAUUGUGUAACAUGCGUUUGAAUGAGAGACUUAUAAUCUCACAAAUAAACUGUGCUGCUGUCAGAUUUCAUUAUUUCAUUCUGAGUCUUGCAAUUUUUAGUGUUUCUUAAAGCCGCCAUCUGAGCUAAUGAUAUGACUAUGUUGGCUUACUUUUUAAAAAAAGAUGUAAGAAUAGAGUCUUGGCUGCAAAGAAAAGCUUAAUUUAACUCACAUUUUCCUCUAUGGUGAAAAAUAUGUAAAAUUACUUAAUUUGGGAGCUGUAAAUUGCAUUUCGUAUCUUGAUUGGUAGCAUGAUUUAUCAACUGGGAGUUUUUACAUUUUUGCCACUUAGAAGUCUGAAAACACCAGAAUUAACCACAUAUAAACUCAAGAUCCUAAAAAUGUUCUGUAGAAGACUGGGUUUAUUAUUAAAUAUUAAGACAAAGUGAGUAUUUUUCAGAACCCUUUGCAUGCUCUCAGAAGUACAUUACCUCCCUCCAUUUGUGUUGCUGUAUGUUUCUCUCAGUUCCCAGAAAUCUACCCAAAAAUACAUUUUAAAAUUGCAUCUAUAAAGAGUAGGGAUGGCAAGUUACAGCUCCAUCUAAGCAAAGGCAUACAACUAAUGACUCUUCAAAAUGAAGCUGUAGAGAUGCAUUCCUGAAAAAUGUCAGCUCCUUGCACGCUGCAACUCUCAAUGUGACCUGACUGAAAGCCCACUGAAGCCAAAGCAAAGGCAUUCAUUGACCUGGAUGUCCUUUGUACAAUGUCUCUGCAGUCAUGAGGGCACUUCUUCAUUCAAAGAGGGGAAGUAAAGAUGGUUUUAGUGAAUUCCUUUAAAACAGAUGGAGAAUUUGUUGCGAGUCGGCUGUUUCAGAUUUGUGCAGCUCAAUUC
ensembl:lncRNA